rnacentral:rRNA from 1 species
GUAAGGAAUAUUGGUCAAUGGACGCAAGUCUGAACCAGCCAUGCCGCGUGAAGGAUGAAGGUCCUCUGGAUUGUAAACUUCUUUUAUCUGGGACGAAACCUCUUUUUCUAAAGAGACUGACGGUACCAGAGGAAUAAGCACCGGCUAACUCCGUGCCAGCAGCCGCGGUAAUACGGAGGGUGCAAGCGUUAUCCGGAUUCACUGGGUUUAAAGGGAGCGUAGGAGGGCAGGUAAGUCAGUGGUGAAAUCUUCGAGCUUAACUCGGAAACUGCCGUUGAUACUAUCUGUCUUGAAUACCGUGGAGAUGAGCGGAAUAUGUCAUGUAGCGGUGAAAUGCUUAGAUAUGACAUAGAACACCAAUUGCGAAGGCAGCUCGUUACACGAAUAUUGACUCUGAGGCUCGAAAGCGUGGGGAUCAAACAGGAUUAGAUACCCUGGUAGUCCACGCCCUAAACGAUGGAUACUCGACAUACGCGAUACACUGUGUGUGUCUGAGCGAAAGCAUUAAGUAUCCCACCUGGGAAGUACGACCGCAAGGU